AUUGAACGCUGGCGGCAGGCCUAACACAUGCAAGUCGAGCGGAUGAAGGGAGCUUGCUCCUGGAUUCAGCGGCGGACGGGUGAGUAAUGCCUAGGAAUCUGCCUGGUCGUGGGGGAUAACGUCCGGAAACGGGCGCUAAUACCGCAUACGUCCUGAGGGAGAAAGUGGGGGAUCUUCGGACCUCACGCUAUCAGAUGAGCCUAGGUCGGAUUAGCUAGUUGGUGGGGUAAAGGCCUACCAAGGCGACGGUCCGUAACUGGUCUGAGAGGAUGAUCAGUCACACUGGAACUGAGACACGGUCCAGACUCCUACGGGAGUCAGCAGUGGGGAAUAUUGGACAAUGGGCGAAAGCCUGGUCCAGCCAUGCCGCGUGUGUGAAGAAGGUCUUCGGAUUGUAAAGCACUGUAAGUUGGGAGGAAGGGCAGUAAGUUAAUACCUUGCUGUUUUGACGUUACCAACAGAAUAAGCACCGGCUAACUUCGUG
rnacentral:rRNA from 1 species